AGCCCGGUCGUCUAGCGGCCAAGGAUGCCAGGCUCUGGACCUGGUGACGGGAGUUCGAAUCUCCCCCGGGCUACCA
rnacentral:tRNA from 1 species